CUGAUCCUGUCUAUGGUCCACAACACCCACUGUCCACUGUCAACGUGACAUCUUAACACAUACUGUAUUUAUGUUUACACCUGCGCAUAAUUGUGGUACUAUCCGGGGCCGGCUCUACGAAGGGGCAAGAGGGGGCAGCUCAAAUCAAAAUUUUAGAAGUUAAGACAACAUAUUUUAAUAGAUUAUCCAAACAAAGAAUGUGAUAAAUGUUAACGCAAUUAACUCUCUCUCUCUCUCUCUCUCUCUCUCUCUCUCUCUCUCUCUCUCUCUCUCUGUGUGUGUGUGUGUGUGUGUGUCCUGGAUCACCUGGCCAGUUGGCGUUUUUUCUGCCGUUGUUGGCUUACGUGUUUUGUCAUUGGCUGCGUCGUGUGUCGUCAUUGACCCUCAGGGAGGAGCGCAGAGAGGCGGAGAAACGAAGCCGGAAAACAGAUUAAAACCAGCGUUUGAAGCGUUGCCUCGGUUUGUUAGUUCUGUGAGAAAACUUAAUUACCAAAGAAGCCUGGAUGCUAAAACACAGUUGUAGUUGCUUUUUUAUUUUAUCGAACACAAGUGAGGCUGGACGCUGAACACACCUGUGGUGCGAAGGUAUCACCACUUUGUCCACGACAUUGUCUACGAUCACAGAGACUUUGUGCAUGAUCAGAGAGACAUUGUUGAGGAUGAGGGAGACAUCGUUCAUGAUCAGAGACAUUGUCCAUGAUCGCAGAGACCUUGUCAAAGAUGAGAGAGACGUUGUCCAUGAUCAGAGACAUUGUCCCAUGCUUCGUAGAGACCUUGCGAUAGAAUCGGCGGAGACGGGGGUCACCGAUUUGACGGCAUUGCCCGCGAUCAUGGAGACAUUGUCGAUGAUCACAGAGGCACCGUCUAUGAUCUCAGAGACAUCGUCCACGAUCACAAAGUCAUUGUCCAUGAUCACAGAGACUUUGUCCAUAAUCUCAGAGACAUUGUCCACGAUCGCAGAGAGUCUUUGUACACUGAGGAAGUUCUUUGAGACCAGGACUGAGGCCUCCAGGCGUCACCACAUUGUCAACAUCAUCGUUUACGAUCGCAGAGACUUCGUCCAUGAUUGCAGAGACAUUGUUGAGGAUGAGGGAGACAUCGUCCAUGAUCAGAGACAUUGUCCAUGAUCGCAGAGACCUUGUCAAAGAUGAGAGAGACGUUGUCCAUGAUCAGAGACAUUGUCCCAUGCUUCGUAGAGACCUUGCGAUAGAAUCGGCGGAGACGGGGGUCACCGAUUUGACGGCAUUGCCCGCGAUCAUGGAGACAUUGUCGAUGAUCACAGAGACACCGUCUAUGAUCUCAGAGACAUCGUCCACGAUCACAAAGUCAUUGUCCAUGAUCACAGAGACUUUGUCCAUAAUCUCAGAGACAUUGUCCACGAUCGCAGAGAGUCUUUGUACACUGAGGAAGUUCUUUGAGACCAGGACUGAGGCCUCCAGGCGUCACCACAUUGUCAACAUCAUCGUUUACGAUCGCAGAGACUUCGUCCAUGAUUGCAGAGACAUUGUUGAGGAUGAGGGAGACAUCGUCCAUGAUCAGAGACAUUGUCCAUGAUCGCAGAGACCUUGUCAAAGAUGAGAGAGACGUUGUCCAUGAUCAGAGACAUUGUCCCAUGCUUCGUAGAGACCUUGCGAUAGAAUCGGCGGAGACGGGGGUCACCGAUUUGACGGCAUUGCCCGCGAUCAUGGAGACAUUGUCAAUGAUCACAGAGACACCGUCUAUGAUCUCAGAGACAUCGUCCACGAUCACAAAGUCAUUGUCCAUGAUCACAGAGACUUUGUCCAUAAUCUCAGAGACAUUGUCCACAAUCACAGAGAUGUAGUCCACGAUCACAGCGAUGUUGUGCACGAUUGCAGAGAGUCUUCAUACAAUGAAGUUCUUUGAGACCAGGACAGAGGCCUCCAGGCCUCACCACAUUGUCAACAUCAUCGUUUACGAUCGCAGAGACUUCGUCCAUGAUUGCAGAGACAUUGUUGAGGAUGAGGGAGACAUCGUCCAUGAUCAGAGACAUUGUCCAUGAUCGCAGAGACCUUGUCAAAGAUGAGAGAGACGUUGUCCAUGAUCAGAGACAUUGUCCCAUGCUUCGUAGAGACCUUGCGAUAGAAUCGGCGGAGACGGGGGUCACCGAUUUGACGGCAUUGCCCGCGAUCAUGGAGACAUUGUUGAUGAUCACAGAGGCACCGUCUAUGAUCUCAGAGACAUCGUCCACGAUCACAAAGUCAUUGUCCAUAAUCACAGAGACUUUGUCCAUAAUCUCAGAGACAUUGUCUGCAAUCAAAGAGAUGUAGUCCACGAUCACAGAGAUGUUGUGCACGAUCGCAGAGAGUUUUCACACAAUGAAGU